GCAAUGAAACGGAAUGUCCCAACCUUGCCAAGGUUGGGGUCGAGGGUUCGAAUCCCUUCGCCCGCUCCA
rnacentral:tRNA from 1 species